ACGGCAACGGGAGCACUGGGGGACACCAAAAAACCAGUUACUGGUGUUACUGGGAGCACUGGUCAUUGUUACUGGGGUCACUGGGGUCACUGGUCAGGGUCACUGGGGUCACUGGGGUCACUGGGGUAACACUGCUGGCCACCAACGGGGUGGCCCUGGAAGGAGUCACGGCACCUGGAGCACUGGGGGGACACCAAAAAACCAGUUACUGGGAGUACUGGGAGCACUGGUGUUACUGGUGUUACUGGUCAAGGUCACUGGGGUCACUGGGGUCACUGGUGUCACUGGGAGCACUGGGGUCACUGGGGUCACUGUGGUCAGGGUCACUGGUGUCACUGGGGUCACUGGUCAGGGUCACUGGGGUCACUGGGGUCACUGUGGUCAGAGGUCACUGGUGUCACUGGGGUCACUGGUCAGGGUCACUGGUCAGGGUCACUGGUGUUACUGGUGUUACUGGUCAGGGUCACUGGGGUCACUGCUCAGAGUCAUUGGUGUCACUGGGGUCAGAGGUCAGAGGUCACUGGUGUUACUGGGGUCACUGGUGUUACUGGUGUCACUGGUGUCACUGGGGUCACUGGAGUCACAGGUCAGGGUCACUGGUGUCACUGGGGUCACUGGGGUCAGAGGUCACUGGUGUCACUGGGGUCACUGGUCAGGGUCACUGGGGUCAGAGGUCAGAGGUCACUGGGGUCACUGGGGUCACUGGUCAGGGUCACUGGGGUCACUGGUCAGGGUCACUGGGGUCACUGGGGUCACUGGGGUCACUGGGGUCAGAGGUCAGAGGUCACUGGGGUCACUGGGGUCAGAGGUCAGAGGUCACCAGUGUGGGGAGUUCUGAGCCCUUGGAGGAACCGGGCGAGUCCCCUCCCCCCCCCAGGUGUGUCCAGGUGUCCCCAGGUGUCCCCAGGUGUGUCCCAAUGUCCCCCCAGGUGUGUUCAGGUGUCCCCAGGUGUCCCCAGGUGUCCCCAGGUGUGUCCAGCUGUCUCCAGCUGUCUCCAGCUGUCCCCAGGUGUGUCCCCAGCUGUCCCCAGGUGUCCCCAGCUGUCCCCAUGUCCCCCCAGCUGUCCUCAGGUGUCCCCAGGUGUGUCCCUAGGUGUCACAC
rnacentral:lncRNA from 1 species